GGAGGAAGAGCAGGUGGCCAUGAAGUGGCAGGAGGGAGUGGUCACUGUCAGGGGUAGCGGGCAUGCAGUGGGUCUAGGACAACGCCGGGAGUGGGCUGGGAAGGCGAGAUCUGCCCUGAAUCUGGUGGGCAAUGGACUCAGCCCGGGUGUCGACCAUAUUCUUGGGACUUUUUCCAACACGCUUUUUUUCCGAGACCACUUACUUCCUUGCUCUGCUCGGUUAUGGUGUUGGAAAAUGAAAUGCACACAUCUUUGCCAGUGUCAAUGAAUUCUGUGCUCUCAUGAGUCUUCAAGCACAUGCUUCUUACAGAAUUGUCUGCAGUGGCAAUAUUGUAUAUUCACGUUGUAAACUGUCAUAAGGUAAGUUUUGUAAUAACAGAGCAGCAUAAUUUUUCUUUGUUAUUAACGUGUGUGUGUGUGACGGGGGAGGUGUUGGAUAAUAAAAAUUGCAGUCAUGUAGGUUUUUCCCAGGGGACUUCAUGGGUCCACCUUUCCCAGUAGUCUCUUACUUGGAGGGAACUGGGAGCCAGGACAAAAGCUCAAAGCCUCUUCUGAGCCUUCCCUGCCCCCCACCCUCCCCCCAGCAUUGAUUGUGGGAAGUACUGCCUUCAGGGCAUCUGCUUUCCCAAGCAAUCGAUGCAACAACACGAGUGAGGAAUGAGUAACAGCAACUGUUUAGCAUCCAUUCUUCCUUGUAAUUAAUAUCACGUGGCUGCACGAACAGCCUAGAGCUGGCUGGUAGAGAAAUGCUCAUUCAGGGAAACCAAGCGACAAACAAACAAACAUGGAAAGGCGUGCUGGCACAUAAUUCUUGCAAAAUGUGAAACGAGAAAGGGCUUGCUUCAAAGCUGUCUGUAACCGAAUUACCACUGGGGGUUUAUGUUUGGUCUUUUUUCUUUUCCUCUAAAAAAUCAGCUCAUAUAUUUUCUUGCAACCAAGACAAGCACUCUCUUAAUUGUUCCAUUAAAAGAGGUGUUGAAAUGUUACUAAUUGUCAAACGCGAUUAAGUGUAGCAACAUGUCACAGGUAAAUUAACGGGGAAGCCAGGUGCUUGGGAAGGGGGGGUGGCACAGCCUUCACGCUGAUGGAAUGCUCAUUACCCUUUUCUGUAGGUGACUCCAGCUUACCUAAGGCAGAACUGUAUGCAUCACACCGGCCCCCUGAUUACAGCUUUUAAGGGUUUCUGACUCAUCAGUGGCCAUUUGCAGGCGAGGGCCUCGUUCUUUUUGGGUUUGGAGAGAGUCUGCCCUUAGUUCUCAGCCUGUUUGAGAGGAAAUAAGAGACACCUCUGUACGCCUGCCUUUUCUGAACCGUAAGUGAGCCAACGCCACACAGUGGCCGAGAGGCCCCGGCUGGAUUGUCCUCUGAUGGAAAGUCAAGAGCUGCCUGUAUCUUUCCCAUGAAGGUCCUGCCAGGACGACGGUAGGUGAAAUUACAGAAAUUACAGGUUUCCCUCCGGCCAGCGUUUUGAAGAAUUGUGGUGUUUCUGUUCUUUUCCAACUAAGCUCUGAUGCGUGCUGACUCCCUGUAAUUAUGGUUUAAUUGGAUAUAACUACAGAGGUAGAACGAGUUUUCAACCAAGUCCCCCUCAAAUAAUUUGUUGCUUAUUAGAAAAAAAAGCUACUCUUCCUGGCUUUAGUGGCAUGCAUGCAUGGCUUCCUCAGCUCCCCCAAGGGGAGAAAAGAAUUACUGGUAUGAGCCCCCGCAAUUUAGUGGGGUUGGUGGAAUCACAGUGCCCUUGUAGCCUAGCUCGGAACAUUCCAGAAAGUUCACUUUCUCCAAAAUGGAAAUCAGAGGUGAGGCCUUCCCAGGGUCCCAGAGUGAAGUGGUUCUGUCUUUCUCACUCUGAUGCUGAGAAGAUUAUUCUCACCAUCGGGGGUUUGCAAACAGGGGGUCUUAGGUGGAACCUGGGCAUGGGUGAGGUGCUACGGAUAUAAAUUAGGUGGUUUGGCAUAAGAUUCUGGAUUUUAGCUUCCUCUUAAAAACAAACAAACAAAACCAAACUCUUAGUCCUGGGCUGGAAGCCCUGUAUUACUUACUUUGCUGGACCUUGAGUCUCAGGUCCUUUCAAGAAGGCAGUGAAUUUACCCCUUGCCUUCCAGUCCUCAUCAUUCAUUUCCUUAACCUUGACUGUUGGUAUUUGAAUGAUUUGUGUCCUUGGGUCUCUCUCUGUCUCUCUCUCUCAAUUUGCACCCCUCCCCCCAGCCUUCUCAUACGAACUCAUCUUUGGCUGAAGGCACUGUCAUCUGGUGCAGAAAGUAAGGUCUUUUGAGUAGGAGAACCUUAUUUAAAUCCCGGCUCUGUGUUCACUAAACUGAGUUCCUUCAGAUGAAGGCCUUUGCAUUUCUCAUCACUCUUUCCACAGCUGAGACUCACCUGAUCCCACAUUGCAGGCUGGCGGGAGCCCCGCACAAUCCUUGGCACAAGGCGAAUGCUUAAUAAAUAUUAGUUUCCCAUGCUCUCAUUCUGCUCUCAGUGGAGGCAGUGAAGGAUGUUGGCGUUAGCCAGUGUCACAGGCUCGUUACCCUGCAAGGCCCCUGGGGAGUUUGUCUUGUUUCUUUCUCUGCCUCCAGCUUAAUUCUCCCACGCAGGUGAAAUUCAGAGAGGUAAACCUACGGGCUCAAGGUUACUCAGUAAAUAACAAAUAAACCCAGGUGUCCUGGGCUUUCAGCCGAGAGCUCAUUUCACUCGGGACAGCCUGCCAGACCCACACAGAUUCUUUCCAGCAGAACUGAAGACGUGGGGAGCGUGGGAUUUCUGUUGCUUGGGGCUUGACAAAACGGUUGCAGACAAUGAGUGGUUUGAAAGUCUGAAAAGAAGCAUCAGGGAGUGAUCUGAAUUAAUCACACAAUUGUUGCAAGAUGUAGCCAGGGUGUUAAUAAGCUCUGCUCUGCCUUUCACUCUUUAGUGAUGCAGUUCACACAGACUUCCCUUUAAUAUGCCUCUGCUUCCUUUUUGGGGGUGACUAUGCAAUAAAGGCGUGCCAUCUAGGUCAGCAACUUAAUCAUCGCUGGCUGAGUCUUAAAGGGAAGUAAAAUAAUCUCAAAUAGCUGAGCCAGGCUCUUCUUCCCACCACCAGGAUCCCUUAUGGACCAUGUGGCCAUCAGACAUGUGUCUUCACUUGCAAAUGGCUUCAGGGAUAUGGUUGUGUGGAGGCUGGGUAGGUUCUUGGGAAGUGAUGCCAUCUUGCCAUAAGGUGAUUAAAGGUCUUGAGGUCUGGGAGUUAAAAGACCAAGAUUCCAGCCCACCCCUGCUACCAAGGAUCUGUGUGACCCUGGACAAGUCACUUCCCAUCUGUAGCUCUUAGUUUUCUUGUUUGGCAAAGGGAUGGAGCUGGCGAAGACAGACUCUGAGGCUCCUUACAGCUCUAGCAGCCUUAGAUGACUCUUCAGGCAGAGCUUAACUCCUCAGAAGGUUGUAGAGAGACCUGGGAAAGGACCCGGAGCAGGUUGCGGAAGGGCAGUAGGAAGGUUAUGAUGCUAGGAUGGAUCAGAGAGAGAGAGGCAGGGGUCAAGGAAUCAGAUUCCAUGACUUGUUAUCUGUAACCCUUGGGGAUCCCAGUGAGCUUGAAGAAUGCCAGGCUGCUGAGUCGUUUGGGCUGAACACAGGGCAGUGGUCAGGAGACGGGGCAGUGGAGGUGGGCGAUGAAGUGGUGAGGCAGGAAGCAGGAGGCUUUGCAGUUCCAUCUUUAGGGUUGUAGUCUGAGCUGGGCAUCCUCUGGAAGCAGGGGACUUAUCUACCUCAGAAAUACAGAUGUGGGAAGAUUGAGUCAGGGAUGAGAUUUUAACAAGACUCACUUGUGCUGCUUGGUUGGGGUCCGACCAGAGCCAGGCGUGAGUAGAAAAGAAAUGGUGUUGGAUUUCUCUCUUGUAAUUGAUAUUUCUGACAAAGCAUGUUGUCUCUCUGAAUCUCUGGGGUUGAUGUCCUUCCUGGGGCUGACCUGAUUCUAUUCCCGGAGUAUAUCCCAGGAUUUGAAUAGAGAGGCUUUAGCCGGAGCCAGAAACAACGCAUGGAUAUUGAUGGUUUUUGCAAUGCGACCUUGAACUUGGCUCAAGACCUCCACAAAAUGGAACUCAGCAUUUCUCCUGUGGCCUGUAGAGCUGCAGAGCUCCUGGAGCGGCCCAAUAGCUUGAGAAUUAGAAAAGCCCUGUGGAGAGGCAGAGGCAGCUUCGAACUGGAUUGGAUGGGCAGUGGUUCUGCUAAGGAUCCAAGCCACCCAUGCCCUGCCUUGCUUUUCUUGAAGACGUGAUUCACGUUGCACCCCUGCAGAUGCUUCUUCUAGCACCUGCUCAUUCCUUUGUCCACCUCCGUCACCAUCGUGACUUAAUUCUCUCUUCCUGCCUUCCUCUGCCCAUCCUCUCUGCUGCUCUGUGGCCUUCAUCACCUCCCCUCCACCCCUCGCCCGAGACGCUCUAGCUCAUGUGAUCUCAUUUGCGCUGACCUGCUGUGGCUGUUACAGUCUGAACCCUCCAGGCUAGCUUUUAGUUCCGUCUUGUUCUGUACUGGUCUCUAAGGGUCUCACAUGUGUUCUUUGCUUCUUCACAAUCUCUCCAGAUCGUAGGAUCUUGGGGCCAGGCACCACAUUGUCUUGACUCAUGCCCUGGCCCCAGCUUGCAUGCCUCAGAGUAUCUGUUAGUUCCUGCUCCCAGAUUUGGUACUAGACGUUCCUCGACCUCCACUCACUUCCCCCAGCUCCCGCUUUGCUCCCGUCUAUGACAAACUUCCCUUUUCAGCUGGGGCUCUGCCGCUGCCCUAGCAUGCCUGCUGCAAAUCAGCUUGAAGUAAGCUGUCUGGAAGUGCCCUGAUGAGUCAGUUGGGCCCCUCCUUGGAGACAAGGAAUUCUGAAGUCUUGCAGGCACAUGCCUGCCCAUCUGUGCAACGAUUCCACAGCCUACCCCUCUUGCCUCUGGGAAUGCAGCUCUCUUUCACCUUGCUCCGGGAAGCUUCUUCCCUCCUCUGCUGGCUGCCCUGACUUGUCAGGUGGAGCUGGCAGGGCAGCUCUGAAGAGCCAGCCUCUGGUGGGCAGAGGCAGAGCAUUGUGGGAUUCUGGUGGGUUUACCUGGGUAAACCUAAGAGAAAGAGGAGAAACCGCUGAGUCAUGGCUUUUGUAAAGCCUUCUCUCCAAGAGAGUGAAGAGUCGGGUGGGGAAGAAGAGGCCAAGGCUCUGGUGUGGCUUGGCCACCGAUUAGCUGUGUCACUUCAUGUGACUCAGUUAUCCUCUCUCACGCUCACUUGACUUCCUCUUCUGUAAAGCAAGCUUGUUGGAUUGGAGCAGUAGCUUUCAGAUUUAGAAGACAAAGGAACCCUUUUAUCAAAUGAAAUCUUACGAAGAAUUUUAAUUUCUAUAACAGAGAAGCAAGGCCAUCCUGGUUGAAGCUGGGGUACAGAGAGGGUCUUGGUUUCCUCCUGAUCUUUCCAGAACCUUAUUAGCACUUCCCAGGAGCCUGGUUUGAAGAGCACUGAGAGAGAGAGGUUCCCUUUGGCCAUCCCAGCUCUGACCGUUGCAGUGUGGUCCUUGAGGCAGCAGAAGCACCCGGGAGCUGGUUAGGAAGGCAGCAUUUCGGGUUCCUCCCUUGAAGCCUACUGAAGCAGAAUCUGCACCCCCAGAUUCACAGACCCCCAGGUUUGAGAAGCACAGGUCUGUUCAGUUCUGUGACCCCAAGAGCUAGGUGACAAAGGGACCCAGGGGACUGAACGUCUUUCCUGGUAUUAUCUGGCCUGGUCACCUGGGGUUGGGGGUGUGGGCCACAUCCCCUUCUUGUGACUUCCUGUGCUUGGGUGCGUUGAUUGCCACCUGGAUGGGGAACCAGCUGUGGGGACAGCGAGGCUUGUCCUCGGGCUUGGCGGAGGAGGGCCCAGAGGGGGCGCCUCUUGGCUCUGCAGAAUGUAUUUCCUGUAGGAAAUGGCUGGAGAAACAGCCCUUCAAAGGGGGAUUUGUGUUGCCAGGAAGGACGUGCUCCCUGCAGACGCCUUACGAGCAGGACUUUACUAGGCAUUUUGCUUUCUUUUCUCCUUCCUUCCUUUCUCUUUCUCUCUUUCUUUCUCUCCCUCUCUCCCUCUCCUCUCUAUCUUUCUUCUUUUUUUCUCUAACCUGUUUCCCUUUCUCUCUGUCUCUUUUUCUUUUUAGGGCCACACUCGUGGCACAUGGAAGUUCCCAGGCUAGGGGUUGAAUCAGAGCUGCAGCUGCUGGCCCACACCACAGCCACAGUGAGGUGGGAUCCAAGCCACCUCUGUGACCUACACCACAGCUCUCGGCAAUGCCAGAUCCUUAACUCACUGAGUCACGUCGGGAGCUCCUCUAACAGGUGUCUCUAGCUGCAUCAUGCUGGACUCCUGAUCUCUGCGGCAUCGGGGCUGGAAUGCUGGGCUUGGACUUAGAGGACCUCUUGGUCCCAGCUGUGGCCCUUCCCCAGAGCCAUUGCCCUGGUUUCUCUUCCCCUCCGGGCCUGUCACUGUCACAGUCCGGUGACCUAGCCGAGUGGUGAGGGUGAACCAAAACAUGCCAGAGUUCUUCUUGCCACCUGUCAGGAGCUAAAAGCUAAGGAAUAUUUUUAUAUCAAUUCUGACCCGUAAAAAUACCUGGCGUUUGGCUUCAGCUGACGCAGAGGCCACCGACACCCCUGUGAGGUUUACUGCUGGCUUCUCGUGUCAGACUAAGCUUUUCCUUGAAGGCCAGGCUUCUUCAAAGUUAGAUAGCCUUGGUGGUGGUUCUUAAAAACACCUUUAUCAGGACUGAUUAAUCAAUUUUUGAUUUUCCUUUAAAUUGUGGGAUAUUAAAAAGGAAGGUAAAUCUGAAACUCUUCUAAAGUGAAAAAAUAAAAGGUUUAUUUAAAAAUCCAAAAAUAAAAGGGAAAAGGAAGAGAAGAAAAACCUGUCCUUAGAAAAGGUUCCAGGGAGCCCCUUUCUGGGUGUGAUUUUUUAAUUUGGUCCCUUGGGAUGUGAUGUGUGCCUUCAGUCAACCUUGAAAAAUGAACCUUCUUAUUUUUUCUGUCGUCAUUUUUUAUUUAUUUAUUUAUUUUUUGUCUUUUUUUUUUUUGCCUUUUUGUAGGGCCAGUCCCGUGACACAUGGAGGUUCCCAGACUGGGGGUCUAAUUGGAGCUGUAGCUACUGGCCUGCACCAGGGCCACAGCAGCGCAGGAUCCAAGCUGCGUCUGUGACCUACACCACAGCUCACUGUGAUGCCAGAUCCUUAACCCACUGAGCAAGGGCAGGGACCGAACCCACAACCUCAUGGUUCCUAGUCGGCUUCGUGAACCACUGCGCCACGGCGGGAACUCCUCUUUCGUCGGUUUUAGUGUCACUUCUGCAAAACACUUUUCUUGGUGACCUGAAAGCGUGUUUGUGCUGUUGAGGCUGUUACAGGAUAUUCGUGUGUAGCUGGUGCUUUUUAUGUUGACAGAAGAGUUCAAGAGUCAUUUAAUAAGACCUCAGGAUGUUCUCAUUUCUCAGUUCCUCUCUUCUUUUGAAAGCCCGAAAUCUUCCGUAGCCAAGAAUAAACAGAUUUUAGCCCCAAAGGGGUGGGCUUGGUUUGACGUCGAAGCAUCUGGACCUGAGGGAGAUUCAUCACUUGGCAGGCGGCCCCAUCCCGCCCUGGCUUUGGUUGGGUACCAUGGCACCCGCCCUCUCCCUGCUCUGUGCUCAGCCCAGCCCCUGCCAUGUCAUCCCACAUCCCUGCUAAAGGCCUUCUUUCCAAGGGCACCCACAGAGGUUCUGUGCCUUAAACCAUGCUCCCCUGGGGUCCUCUCUGCUAGGCUUGCGGAGAAGCUCUUUGCUUCUUGGGGUGCUGCCUCAUGAGGGUGGAGGCAAACCCAAGGAAGGUUGGGCAGAUGCUAAAGCUCUUGGGAUAAAGCCCGGUCAACUUUCCUUUAAUAGCAAUUUUUAGGCGUUCCUGUCGUGGCACAGCAGAAACGACUCUGACAAGGAUCCAUGAGGAUGUGGGUUCGAUCCCUGGCCUUGCUCAGUAGGUCAGCAAUUCGGUGUUGCCAUGAGCUGUGGUGUAGGUCACAGAUGCAGCUCAGAUCCCAUGUGGCUGUGGCUAUAGGCCAGCAGCUGUAGCUCUGAUUCAACCCCUAGCCUGGGAACCUCCAUAUGCUGCGGGUGUGGCCCUAAAAAGCAAAAAAAAAAAAAAAAAAAAAAAAAAAUUUCUUUGAAUGGGCUGGUAAAAUCCCACCCUGUGACUCCAUUCUGGGAAGCUGGGGUUGGUAGUGCUGUUUGGCAGAGCUCAGGGAUUUUGCUGGUAAAGCCUUCUUUUUCCUAGGAUCUUCUGUCAUUGGAAAGGUCAUCUGGAAGGUCAUACCAUCGCUGGCCAGGCUGGCAGAGGGCAGAGGGAGGGUUUGUGCAGCCGCAUCUGCCCAGGGAUCCGUUUGCUGUUAUUGAAAGAUGCAGACUGUUUGGGCCAAUCAAGGCUGUCUUUAAUGACUUCAUGGGGUUUUCCUCGCUAAUGUAGCGUCUUUUUUGGAAAUCUAGGCUAGUGAUCAGUUCCAAAGCAUGGUGAGAUUUCUGUUUGUAUCUUCUUAUCUCUCUGAGGGCUGGAAAGAUACACCUCCCUUCUCCAUCCCUCCUUUCUUCUCAUUUUACAAAUUACCUUAUGCUCUGCCUCCCAUGUUUGUGUCUUUUGCCGCAUCUCGGUCCUAAGCAGAAGAAGCCCUGUGUGUCCGACUUUCUCUUGAACAUCUCCAGCUGCAGCUGCGUUUCUUAGGUGCAAUUCAAACUCAACAAGUCAAAAUUGAACUCAUCAUAUUUUGCCCCAAACUCAUUCCCUCAAACACCUCUGUGCUCCUUUUUCCUAUCAGUGGCAUCCCCUUUCACCCAGUUGCUCGUGCUGGAAAUUUAGGAGUCACCCCUGAUUCUUUUCCUCCCCUUCCCAUCCUAUUUGUCAUCAAAACUUGUCAACUCCAUCACCUUAUCGGCCUUGACUCCGAGCAUUUUUGUCCAUUCUCAUUGCGGUCGUACUGGUGUAGCUUAGAUGCCAAAGGAGAAGUUUUCCCUUCCCCUCUCCCGCCCCAGGUCCAAGCAGGGAGACGGCUGCUGAAGAAAUGUUGGUUAAAUCAAGAAAUGGAAUCUGACUUGUAACUAUGAGGAUGCAGGUUCAGUGGGUUAAGGAUCCAGUGUUGCAGUGAGCUGCGGUGUAGGUCGAAGAUGCACCUUGGAUCUGGCGUGGCUGUGGUGUAGGCUGGUGGCUACAGCUCUAAUUCGACUCCUGGCCUGGGAACCUCCAUGUGCCAUGGGUGUGGCCCUAAAA
rnacentral:lncRNA from 1 species